GAAGGACUAAGGUCAAAUGCAGUCAUAGAAUUCAUUUUUUUCAAUAUCAAAUCAUUUUUGGGUAAGAAUUAAGUACCUUACCGUGAUUGUUUUCAAUUAAAAUGGUCAAAAAUAGCAUCUUAAUAAAAGUCACUCAUUUCAGGAAGUAAUUUGAGUAAAAAAUGUCAGAAAUGGAAAAAUAUUUGAAUAGCUUCUCCAUUUUCAGCUUAUUGAGACGUCAUUGAAAAUAGAUGCCAUUUUUAAAAAUGAUUGAAUGACUUCAAUUGAAAAUGACCCUAACCCUGGAUCUUAUAGAUGUUUAAUACAUUCACUUUUCAAAGAUAGGAUGUAUAAAAUAUAUUCAGCUUAAGUGGUGUCAAGUGACUAUGAAAAACAUUGACAUGACAUUUAAACAACUAAACAUCACGUGAGGUUGGAAACUGACAGUCCAACACACACAGCUGUGACAAAUGGCUGUCAAACAUCACGCCAAUGAAGUGACUUCAAAACACACGUCACAGUUUGUAAAAUGGUUUGUGGUUUUAUUGGGAGAAUAGUAAGAAGGUAAGACAGUAUAAGUUAGACUGUACAAUGAAAGCAUUUUCUCAACAAACAAAAAACAAACAUCUGAACUGUAUAAGCAAGAGAGACAGUUUGUAACCAUUGUUGGACUCGUAUGUGACUUAUCUUCUUGGAUACUGUCCCAAAUGACACCCAUGUCCCUAUUUACUUAUACUACUUUAGACCAGAGCCAAUGGGUCAUCAUGUAGGGAAUAGGGUGCCAUUCGGAACGUAGCCAUCAUCUUGAAAUGAGGACAUGAAAACACCGCUAAGGCAAACACUGCAAGUAUAAAAACUUGAUUGGGGGAAAAAAGGCGAAGUCAGGUAACAGGAGGCACAACAAUAUCAGUCAUAUUCUGGCAGAUCAUUUGCAUAUUUUCCUCUUUACUAAUAAAGAACUGACCUGAUUACAUGGGGCAGCAGUAACAUAUCAUCGUGAUCAUUCUCAUAACAUACAGAAGUAUUUUUGCUGUGUGGACUGGAGCACAGUGCUGUUGCAUAGCUUUAAAACACCAUCACCUCACACAACUCAGUGAUGUCAUGAUGAGAGAGAGAGCAGGAAGGAGUUGUAGUAGAGGAACAGACAGUUCUCAGGGCAGGGCGGGGGUCUGACAUCACAGUUAACAGUUUGAAACCUCUGUAACUCUUUUUGACACAAUGAAUUACAACUCAGACUGGGUUAAAACCAGUUGUGGAGGCUGACCAGGCCACUGAAGGCAGGUUUCUGUCUGUAGCAGAAACUUAAUCAAACAGGCUUGGGCUUUGUGACAUCAUCAAAGUGGGCCUGGGCAUUUGAAAUGACCCUGUGUUCUAACUGACUCUUGGGCUGCAUUCCAACAUCCACACUAACAUGACACUUAGAAGCAGUGCAUUCUAACUAGUGUGCUAGCGUUGGCACACAUUUAAAACCACAGCAGCAGCAGAGGGAGAGACGGCCUGAAGGAGCAGUGACUGAAUACUGACCACUGUGUUACUACUGGCAGACUGUCUACCCAUUCUCUUACUGGAGCAGACCAAGGCCUGCAUCUGUCUGGGCUUUGUCCCAAAUGACAGCCUAUUCCCUACAUAGUGCACUACUAUAGACCCUAUGGGACCUGUUCAAAAUUUGUGCACUAUAUAGGGAAUAGGGUGCCAUUUGGGACUCCUAUUUGAGCUCUCCCUCACUAAAUAAGACCAGUAAGGGACAUGGGUCUACUGGGUAUUGAGUCACUCUGGAGGCCAUUUGGCAAAAAGCACCGACUGACUACAACCAUAGAAAUAGAAUGGCUAGAAACAGUUCUAGAAUGGACACAGUUCUAGAAUGCAAAUGAUUCUAGAAUGAUCACUUUGGGACAUGUUGGGUCCAGUGGAAUACUGUUGAUCAGGCCACUUCAGACCAGACAACACUCUUAAAAGGACCUAGCUACUCUAAAACAGCAGGGCUCCUAAGGUGGGCAAGCACAGUGAUGAUGGUUACAUCUAUUUAACCCAGGUCAGAGGUCACCCAUAAGGCUAAAUUCUUUAACUAUGGUGGCCCAUAAGGCUGUUUUGGGUUUCUGUUGCAUCUUAGUUGGAACUCCGUAGCAAUCUGUGUGGACAUGUACAUCCCCUGGGAGAAAGUGGUAUGCCUCUGUAGGACUGUGUGUGUUGUUCAAAAACCUGUUUGUUCAGCAUCGACAAAGGCAAAUCACAGACCCUAGUCUGGUCUGACUUACUGGUGUGUGUGUGUGGCGCGGGAGGAGACACUGGUCCCAGUCACACCAGUCCAUCCGCCUGGUAUAGAGGAUGAAAUGGUGGCCUUUCUUUCCAGAGCCUCGGGCCUUCAGCCAAGGGGCCCUGACACACAGUCUCAGCCCAGACAAAGAGCUCUGUGCUGGGGAUGACUCGGAGCUAUGGAAGGGGUGGCCUGGAGCUAUCAGUCAGAAGCCCUAACAGGGCUGACAGUGUUUGUGAGAGACUUGAGCUACACAUGCAGCAUGUUUGGCCAACGGGACUCAGACUGCAUCCAAAACUAUAUAGGGAAUAGCGCUCACUUGGGAGACAACGAGAGAGACAACGAGAGAGAGAGACGAGAGACAACAAGAGAGAGAGACAGAGACAACACGAGAGAGAGAGAGAGACAACACGAGAGAGAGAGAGAGACAACGAGAGAGAGAGAGA
rnacentral:lncRNA from 1 species